rnacentral:rRNA from 1 species
GACGAACGCUGGCGGCGUGCUUAACACAUGCAAGUCGAACGGAAAGGCCCUGCUUUUGUGGGGUGCUCGAGUGGCGAACGGGUGAGUAACACGUGAGUAACCUGCCCUUGACUUUGGGAUAACUUCAGGAAACUGGGGCUAAUACCGGAUAGGAGCUCCUGCUGCAUGGUGGGGGUUGGAAAGUUUCGGCGGUUGGGGAUGGACUGGCGGCUUAUCAGCUUGUUGGUGGGGUAGUGGCUUACCAAGGCUUUGACGGGUAGCCGGCCUGAGAGGGUGACCGGCCACAUUGGGACUGAGAUACGGACCAGACUCCUACGGGAGGCAGCAGUGGGGAAUAUUGCACAAUGGGCGGAAGCCUGAUGCAGCAACGCCGCGUGCGGGAUGACGGCCUUCGGGUUGUAAACCGCUUUCGCCUGUGACGAAGCGUGAGUGACGGUAAUGGGUAAAGAAGCACCGGCUAACUACGUG